UCUGCCCUUCACUCUGGGACAAGCCCUGGAAACGGGGUCUAAUACCGGAUACGACCACCGACCGCAUGGUCUGGUGGUGGAAAGCUCCGGCGGUGAAGGAUGAGCCCGCGGCCUAUCAGCUUGUUGGUGGGGUGAUGGCCUACCAAGGCGACGACGGGUAGCCGGCCUGAGAGGGCGACCGGCCACACUGGGACUGAGACACGGCCCAGACUCCUACGGGAGGCAGCAGUGGGGAAUAUUGCACAAUGGGCGAAAGCCUGAUGCAGCGACGCCGCGUGAGGGAUGACGGCCUUCGGGUUGUAAACCUCUUUCAGCAGGGAAGAAGCGAGAGUGACGGUACCUGCAGAAGAAGCGCCGGCUAACUACGUG
rnacentral:rRNA from 1 species